UAAGCCGUUGAAGGUGAAUCGUAAGGUUUGCUGGAGGUAUCAGAAGUGCGAAUGCUGACAUGAGUAACGACAAAGGGGGUGAAAAACCUCCUCGCCGGAAGACCAAGGGUUCCUGUCCAACGUUAAUCGGGGCAGGGUGAGUCGACCCCUAAGGUGAGGCCGAAAGGCGUAAUCGAUGGGAAACGGGUUAAUAUUCCCGUACUUCUGACUAUUGCGAUGGGGGGACGGAGAAGGCUAGGUGGGCCAGGCGACGGUUGUCCUGGUUCAAGUGCGUAGGCUUGAGAGUUAGGUAAAUCCGGCUCUCUCUAAGGCUGAGACACGACGUCGAGCUGCUACGGCAGUGAAGUCAUUGAUGCCAUGCUUCCAGGAAAAGCCUCUAAGCUUCAGAUAGUCAGGAAUCGUACCCCAAACCGACACAGGUGGUCGGGUAGAGAAUACCAAGGCGCUUGAGAGAACUCGGGUGAAGGAACUAGGCAAAAUGGUACCGUAACUUCGGGAGAAGGUACGCUCUUGAUGGUGAAGUCCCUCGCGGAUGGAGCUGACGAGAGUCGCAGAUACCAGGUGGCUGCAACUGUUUAUUAAAAACACAGCACUGUGCAAAAUCGCAAGAUGACGUAUACGGUGUGACGCCUGCCCGGUGCCGGAAGGUUAAUUGAUGGGGUUAGCGCAAGCGAAGCUCUUGAUCGAAGCCCCGGUAAACGGCGGCCGUAACUAUAACGGUCCUAAGGUAGCGAAAUUCCUUGUCGGGUAAGUUCCGACCUGCACGAAUGGCGUAAUGAUGGCCACGCUGUCUCCACCCGAGACUCAGUGAAAUUGAAAUCGCUGUGAAGAUGCAGUGUACCCGCGGCUAGACGGAAAGACCCCGUGAACCUUUACUACAGCUUGGCACUGAACAUUGAACCUACAUGUGUAGGAUAGGUGGGAGG
rnacentral:rRNA from 1 species